AGCAGAGUGGCGCAGUGGGAGCGUGCUGGGCCCAGAACCCAGAGGUCCGUGGAUGGAAACCAUUCUCUGCUA
rnacentral:tRNA from 13 species